rnacentral:rRNA from 1 species
GAUUGUAGUCAUAUGCUUGUCUCAAAGAUUAAGCCAUGCAUGUGCAAGUAUGAACAAAUUCGAACUGUGAAACUGCGAAUGGCUCAUUAAAUCAGUUAUAGUUUGUUUGAUGGUACGUGCUACACGGAUAACUGUGGUAAUUCUAUGGCUAAUACGUGCGUAAAGUCCCGACUCUGGCCUCGGUCAGGGAAGGGAUGUACUUAUUAGAUAAAAAACCAAUGCGUUCCUUCGGGGGCGGUUUUGUGUUGAUUCAUAGUAAUUUAUCGAAUCGCAUGGCCUCUGUGCUGGCGAUAGAUCAUUCAAAUUUCUGCCCUAUCAGCUUUCGACGGUAGUGUAGUGGACUACCGUGGCGUUAACGGGUAACGGGGAAUCAGGGUUCGGUUCCGGAGAGGGAGCCUGAGAAACGGCUACCACAUCCAAGGAAGGCAGCAGGCGCGAAAAUUGCCCAAUCCGAAUACCGGGAGGCAGUGACAAAAAAUAACGAUGCUUGGCUCUAGUAGUCGAGCAAUCGGAAUGAGGACAAUUUAAAUACCUUCACGAACGCAACUGAAGGGCAAGUCUGGUGCCAGCAGCCAAU